GGCCUUUUGAUAAUAAUUUAAGGUCGGGCCUGCCCAAUGAUUAAUUUAAUGGCCGCGGUAUAUUAACUGUGCAAAGGUAGCAUAAUCAUUAGUUUUUUAAUUGAAAGCUGGAAUGAAGGGUUUAAUGAAAAAAGUUCUGUCUUGCUUAAGUUUAUUAGAAAUUUAUUUUUAAGUUAAAAAGCUUAAAUAAUUAUUAAAGACGAGAAGACCCUAUAGAGUUUUAUAUCCAAAAAAAUAUAUUUUAUUUAGAAUUUUGGAGCUAUGUUUUAGAGAUAUUUUGUUGGGGUGACAGAAAAAUUUAAUAAACUUUUUUUUCCAUAAACAUUAAUGUAUGAAUAAUUGAUCCUUUUUAAAGAUUAAAAGAUAAAAUUACCUUAGGGAUAACAGCGUGAUUUUUUUUAGAGUUCUUAUCGAAAGAAAAGAUUGCGACCUCGAUGUUGGAUUAAAAUAAAUUUUUGGCGCAAAAGCUAAGAGAUUAGGUCUGUUCGACCUUUAAAUUUUUACAUGAUCUGAGUUUAGACCGGUUUGAG
rnacentral:rRNA from 1 species